AAAACAUGUCCUUUAGAGUUUAAUUUAAGGUCUGACCUGCCCACUGAGUUAAAUGGCCGCAGUAUUUUAACUGUGCAAAGGUAGCAUAAUCAUUAGUCUUUUAAUUGAAGGCUUGUAUGAAUGGUUGGACGAAAUAUUAACUGUUUCAUGAAAAUUGAUUUAGAAUUUUAUUUUUUAGUUAAAAAGCUAAAAUUUAUUUAAAAGACGAGAAGACCCUAUAGAUCUUUAUAUUUUGUUUAUUAUAAUUAUUUAGAUAAUUUAAGUUAUAAUUGUGCAAAUUAUUUUGUUGGGGUGACAUUAAAAUUUAAUUAACUUUUAAUAUAUUUUUACAUUAAUUUAUGAUUAAUUGAUCCAUUAUUAAUGAUUAUAAAAUUAAGUUACCUUAGGGAUAACAGCGUAAUUUUUUUGAAGAGUUCAUAUCGAUAAAAAAGAUUGCGACCUCGAUGUUGGAUUAAGAUAUAAUUUUGGGUGCAGCAAUUCAAUUAUUAAGUCUGUUCGACUUUUAAUUUCUUACAUGA
rnacentral:rRNA from 1 species